AUCUUGCAUCUACAUUGGAAGCCAAGAAGAGUCCUUCACAUGCCAGAAACAAUGAGGACUUUAUGCGAAGUACAGAGCAUGCAGGACCAGGUUAUAGAAGGACCUUCGGGACCAGCCCCCAAGCCACCUCGCCUGGGAGAGGCAUGGACUCACGAAAGCAACAGCUCUCCAAAACAGGAAAGAAUAAUCCGAUUGGAUCCCUGGGAAGCAGGGUGUAAAACUGCAGAGCUGAGCCAAG
rnacentral:lncRNA from 1 species